rnacentral:rRNA from 1 species
GAGGAAUAUUGGUCAAUGGGCGAGAGCCUGAACCAGCCAAGUAGCGUGCAGGAUGACGGCCCUAUGGGUUGUAAACUGCUUUUAUACAGGAAUAAAGUUAGCCACGUGUGGUUAUUUGUAGGUACUGUAUGAAUAAGGACCGGCUAAUUCCGUGCCAGCAGCCGCGGUAAUACGGAAGGUCCAGGCGUUAUCCGGAUUUAUUGGGUUUAAAGGGAGCGUAGGCCGUCUGUUAAGCGUGUUGUGAAAUGUAGAUGCUCAACAUCUGAAUUGCAGCGCGAACUGGCAGACUUGAGUGUGCGCAACGUAGGCGGAAUUCGUGGUGUAGCGGUGAAAUGCUUAGAUAUCACGAAGAACUCCAAUUGCGAAGGCAGCUUACGGGAGCACAACUGACGCUGAAGCUCGAAAGUGCGGGUAUCGAAC